rfam:Schistosoma curassoni strain Dakar, Senegal genome assembly, scaffold: SCTD_scaffold0008576
AUCCAGCUGAUGAAUCCCAGAUGGGACGCAAUGCGCAUCCUGGAU